UGCCAGCAGCCGCGGUAACACCAGCGCCACGAGUGGGGAUCGCGAUUAUUGGGCCUAAAGCGUCCGUAGCCGGUUCUGUAAAUCCUUUGUGAAAUCGUUGGGCUUAACCCAACGACGUGCAGGGGACACUGCAGAACUCGAGACCGGGAGGGGCUAGAGGUAUUUUGUGGGGAGCGGUAAAAUGCUAUAAUCCACAGAGGACCACCGAUGGCGAAGGCAUCUAGCCAGAACGGAUCUGACGGUGAGGGACGAAAGCCAGGGGAGCGAACCGGAUUAGAUA
rnacentral:rRNA from 1 species